AUUCAAAGAAAAGCCAUGAUAAAAGAGAAAGUAAAACAGAUGCAGACCUAGACUGUAUAGGAUAUGUUGGGGUUAUGCAGGCAUUCUCUUGUGUUUUAAAACCAUGAUGGAGAAUCAGCUAGCCUCAAUCAGCUAGUCCUGGAGUUAAAGAAACCCAAGUCCAAAUAUUGCCUGAGUUUCUUAGGAGUUGGUCAACUUUGACAACAGUUACUUAGUGCUAGCAGACAACCAGCCAAAGAAUAAUAUCAUAUGAGAAAACAUGAAGGGAUUGCAGUCUGCGCUAGUAGAGGAAGGACUCGUAUGUUCACAGAUCCAUAGAAGAAUCAAACUUGAGAGAGAAUACAUUGUGUUGGAUGAAGAGAAGACAAAUUUAAAUCAAAGGAGGAACAAUAGGAGAACUAAUUUCUAAGUAAAACUGGAGAUUUUGAAACUGUGAAGGCCUUGGCAUUUUUUUUCUGGGGGGAGAGAAAUUUGAAAAGCUUGACACAAUUAAGGAAAAGAAGAAGGAUCAUGGAUAAAAGAAAAAAAUACUGAAACUAAAGUAAAUAUAUCCCAAUAUGCUGAGAAGGAUUUGUAUAGGAUGAUAUGAGUUGGGGGACAGAAAGAGAACUUAGGCUGAGACUGUACCAGAGAAGGAAGAGCAGAAUAAAAAAGAGAAAGUAUUAACAUGGAUGCUGGCAAGCUGGAUAAUGACAAGAGAAGAAAAACCAAGAUGGCAAAGGAGCACAACUUGAAAUGG